UUCCAAAAAAGCGUAGUGGUUAUCAUGUUUGCCUCACACGCAAAAGGUCCCCGGUUUGAAACUAGGCAGAAA